UGGUCUAACUGGAAGUCUGCAUACAGAA
rnacentral:piRNA from 1 species